AGCCAAAAUAAAAUAAAAUAAAAUAACUACAAUAUUCAAAAACAGAAUUCUCAUACAAUUUGAGAAAGAAUAGAGUGAAAAGGCAAAUGUUAGCUAAGCUCUUAGCUAAAUCCACUCUUAAUGGCCCCCAGUAUUUAAACUAUCAUGGAUUAAAGCCAUGAAAAUAAAAAUUUCAAUUUGAAAUUUUAUUAGCAUGUUGCUAAAAUGGUCAAUAAAAACAUCAACACGAUAGGCUUUGUUGACAUAGUUGGAAAACUGCUCUCUCGUUUUUUUCAAACUUGAUUUCCUUUCCCCCACCUUCUAAGAUUUCUAUGUUAGGAAAAGCCAAACUAAAUACUCUGGCUAUGGUGUUGUCAUAAUGCUGGUUUCUGGAAUGUUGCCUUGUCCUCCCCCUCCCACUCCUCCAAUCCCUUUAAAAAUAUGACUAUUUUUGAAAUGCAGCCCGAGGAGGGAGUAAUCAAGGGUUCAGAACAAUAAGCCGCCCUUCUGCACCCAUUCAAGUUCCCAGACACCAGGUGAACUAUCUCCUUUUCCCGGGUGGGGCCCGCUCUCCACAUCAAAUUAGCCAUGCUAUUGUCCUCCCAGACGGGAAGGCUUCCCUUCUGCCAAGGAGGGAGACUCACAGGCAAAUGCGGGUGGGGUGGCGUCUGCUCCCUCUGGUGCAAAGAACAGGAAGCAAAAACUAUCUAGCUUAGCCCAGAGCCUGGAAUAAAGUCAGGAGACCUGGGGCUGGAGAGCUGGAAGAGUCCCAGGCAGCCUCAGGAUAACCCAGAGUCCCGAAGUGCUUUCUCGCAGAACUAUUCACCAGUGCACAAGGGGCAGGCUUGAUUUCUUGGAAAUCCUGCAUUCUGGGGACACAUUCAUACAGGAGGUGAACGGUGCCCUGAAAAGACCAAUCCUCGCCUCCGACUGGCCUGUCUGUGCACAUCUGGGGUAUUGAAGGUCCCUUUUUCCUAAUGAAAGGUCACGUCCCUGCUCUCCUCUGCCCCUUUCCCUUCUCCCUUUACAACUCAAGGGAAAAGCACUCUCUGGGGUCUCCCAACAUCGUUACCACCACUGAGGUUCUCAGCGAGGCGCGCGCAGCUGCGCCCUUUCAGUCCCAGGGUCAGUUCCUGAGACUUCCUGCCGCUGGCCGGCGGGGUGCAAGGGUGCAGCCCCUCGCACAGACCACCAGCGGCUGACGCACGCGGGGGUGGGUUGGGGAUCAAGAACUGCCAGCCAGCCGCGAAGCCCGCCCGGCACAGACUGGAGGGGAACCCGGAGCUGG
rnacentral:lncRNA from 1 species